ACGGGAGGCAGCAGUGGGGGAUAUUGGUCAAUGGGGGAAACCCUGAACCAGCAACGCCGCGUGAGGGAAGAAGGUCUUCGGAUUGUAAACCUUUGUCUUAUGGGACGAUAAUGACGGUACCAUAGGAGGAAGCCACGACUAACUACGUGCCAGCAGUCGCGGUAAUACGUAGGUGGCGAGCGUUAUCCGGAAUUAUUGGGUGUAAAGGGUGCGUAGGCGGGAUGUAAAGUCAGAUGUGAAAUACCGUGGCUUAACUACGGGGCUGCAUUUGAAACUUACGUUCUUGAGUGAAGUAGAGGCAAGCGGAAUUCCCAGUGUAGCGGUGAAAUGCGUAGAUAUUGGGAGGAACACCUGUGGCGAAGGCGGCUUGCUGGGCUUUUACUGACGCUGAGGCACGAAAGUGUGGGGAGCAAACAGGAUUAGAUACCCUGGUA
rnacentral:rRNA from 1 species